GCCCGCCUAGCUCAAUCGGAUAGAGCGUCAGACUCUUAACAGGCGGGUCCAUUUAAAUCUGAAGGCUGGGAGUUCGACCCUCCCGGUGGGCU